rnacentral:rRNA from 1 species
UACGGGGGGGGCAAGCGUUGUUCGGAAUUACUGGGCGUAAAGGGCGCGUAGGCGGUUGGAUAAGUCAGCUGUGAAAACCACGGGCUUAACUCGUGGCCUGCAGUUGAGACUGUCUGGCUUGAGUGUGGGAGAGGAGAGUGGAAUUCCUGGUGUAGCGGUGAAAUGCGUAGAUAUCAGGAGGAACACCGGUGGCGAAGGCGGCUCACUGGUCCGGUACUGACGCUGAGGUGCGAAAGCGUGGGGAGCAAACAGG